GGGGGGGGCAAGCGUUGUUCGGAAUUACUGGGCGUAAAGGGCUCGUAGGCGGCCCCUUAAGUCAGACGUGAAAGCCCUCGGCUCAACCGGGGAAUGGCGUCUGAGACUGAAGGGCUUGAAGCCGGGAGAGGGAUGCGGAAUUCCAGGUGUAGCGGUGAAAUGCGUAGAUAUCUGGAGGAACACCGGUGGCGAAGGCGGCAUCCUGGACCGGUAUUGACGCUGAGGAGCGAAAGCCAGGGGAGCAAACGGGAUUAGAUACCCCGGUAGUCCUGGCCCUAAACGAUGAAUGCUUGGUGUGGCGGGUAUCGAUCCCUGCCGUGCCGAAGCUAACGCAUUAAGCAUUCCGCCUGGGGAGUACGGUCGCAAGGCUG
rnacentral:rRNA from 1 species